rnacentral:rRNA from 1 species
GCUGGCGGCACGCCUAACACAUGCAAGUCGAACGAAGUAGCAAUACUUAGUGGCAGACGGGUGAGUAACAUGUAGGUAUCUACCCUUUUGCCUGGAAUAACACGAGGAAACUUGUGCUAAUACCGGAUAAGUCUUUACGGAGAAAGCUUUAUGCACCAUUGGAUGAGCCUGCACUUGAUUAGUUUGUUGGUGGGGUAAUGGCCUACCAAGACUGUGAUCAAUAGCUGAUUUGAGAGGAUGAUCAGCCACAUUGGGACUGAGACACGGCCCAAACUCCUACGGGAGGCAGCAGUGGGGAAUCUUGCACAAUGGAGGAAACUCUGAUGCAGCGAUGCCGCGUGAGUGAAGAAGGCCUUUGGGUUGUAAGCUCUUCCGUCGGGGAAGAAAAUGACUGUACCCGAAUAAGAAGGUCCGGCUAACUUCGUGCCAGCAGCCGCGGUAAUACGAAGGGACCUAGCGUAGUUCGGAAUUACUGGGCUUAAAGAGUUCGUAGGUGGUUGAAAAAGUUAGUGGUGAAAUCCCAGAGCUUAACUCUGGAACUGCCAUUAAAACUUUUCAGCUA